rnacentral:rRNA from 1 species
CCUACGGGAGACAGCAGUGGGGAAUAUUGGGCAAUGGGCGCAAGCCUGACCCAGCAACGCCGCGUGAAGGAAGAAGGCAUUCGGGUUGUAAACUUCUUUUCUGAGGGACGAAGAAAGUGACGGUACCUCAGGAAUAAGCCACGGCUAACUACGUGCCAGCCGCCGCGGUAAUACGUAGGUGGCAAGCGUUAUCCGGAUUUAUUGGGUGUAAAGGGCGUGUGGGCGGGAAAGCAAGUCAGAUGUGAAAACUCAGGGCUCAACCCUGAGCGUGCAUUAGAAACUGUUUUUCUUGAGUGCUAGAGAGGCAAGCGGAAUUCCGUGUGUAGCGGUGAAAUGCGUAGAUAUACGGAGGAACACCAGUGGCGAAGGCGGAUUGCUGGACAGUAACUGACGCUGAGGCGCGAAAGCGUGGGGAGCAAACAGGAGUAGAUACCCGGGUAGUC